GAUGAACGCUGGCGGCGUGCCUAACACAUGCAAGUCGAGCGAGGGUUUGCUCAGUAUUGAGUAUUCUAAGUCUAGAAUGUUCAAUUCUGAGCAAAACCAAGCGGCGGACGGGUGAGUAACGCGUGGGUAACCUGCCCUAUACACCUGGAUAACAUACUGAAAAGUUUACUAAUACAUGAUAAUAUAUAUUUGUGGCAUCGCAGAUAUAUCAAAGUGUUAGCGGUAUAGGAUGGACCCGCGUCUGAUUAGCUAGUUGGUGAGAUAACUGCCCACCAAGGCGACGAUCAGUAGCCGACCUGAGAGGGUGAUCGGCCACAUUGGAACUGAGACACGGUCCAAACUCCUACGGGAGGCAGCAGUGGGGAAUAUUGCACAAUGGGCGAAAGCCUGAUGCAGCAACGCCGCGUGAACGAUGAAGGUCUUCGGAUCGUAAAGUUCUGUUGCAGGGGAAGAUAAUGACGGUACCCUGUGAGGAAGCCCCGGCUAACUAC
rnacentral:rRNA from 1 species